UUUUUUUUUUUUUUUUUUUUUUUUUUUUUGUCUUUUUAGGGCCGCACCUGUGGCAUACGGAAGUUCCCAGACUAUGGGUCGAAUUGGAGCUUCAGCUGCUGACCUACCUCACAGCCACAGCAACGCAGGAUCCAAGCCACGUCUACAACCUACAGCACAGUUCACACCAAUGCCAGAUCCUUAACCCAUUGAGGGAGGCCAGGGAUUGAACCCAAGUCCUCAUGGAUACUAGAUAGGCUCAUUAGCACUGCGCCACAACGGGAACUCUGCAAUAGGUAUUUCCACCUCAUAGCAGGAAAUGGCAGGAUACUGCGUAAUAGUGUCGUGUGUUUCCACCAGAUGAAGGCCUCAGUGUGUAAAAGUUGCAAGGUAAUGUUCCUUCUUCCUCAGAAAUUUAGCCGUAAGUCUAAAAUAUCAACUGCCUAGACCAGCCCUUCCAGAGAUGACCAGAUGGUCUUCCACUGUCUAGGUAAACAUGUUUCCAUCAUUCCCCCGUCCUGUCCACAAAUUCUCAAAGGAAGAGAGAAGAACCCAAUGUAAAUAAGCAUCUUCUUCAUUCAUCUUGCAGAGAUGGGGAGGCAGCAGGCCAAUUUAAUGGUAAAGAACUAGGUUGUAAAUCUGCCAUUGCUAAUAGAGAUGUGUAUGAGGUGCUAGAGAAAUCCAAGGAUGGAAAUAAAGGUCAAAAUUCAGCAAAGGAGUGAAUCAUGAAAGACUUUUAAUGCCAGGAUUUUUUUUUUUUCUUUUAAGUGCCGUACCUCCAGCAUAUGGAAGUUUCCAGGCUAGGGGUCCAAUCAAUUGGAGCUACAGCUGCUGGCCUACGCCAUAGCCACAGCAAUGCCAGAUCUGAGCCACAUCUGCAACCUACGCUACAGCUUGCAGCAACUCUGAUUCUUAACCCACUGAACGAAGUCAGGGAUCAAACCCUCAUCCUUAUGGAUACUAGUCAGAUUCCUUUCCAUUGAGCCACAACAGUAACUUCAGGACUGGGUUGUUGUGUCUUGCUUUGUGUUGCUUUGUUUUUUAACUGCAAAAUUUAUCUUAUUUUUUUACUUUACGGAAAAAUUUAGGUACUAGAAACCACAUGAUGUUUAACAUGUAUCAUUUGAUCAUUUUUGACAGAUAUACAUCUUCAGAGUCAUUACUGUAAUGAAAAUAAACAAACACAGCCAUGAUCCCCCCAGAGUUUCUUCACACCCCUUGUCCGUCCCCCUCUUCCUCCCUCAUAGCCUGGCAGUCACGGAUCUGUUUUCUGUCAUUUUAGAUUAUUUUAAAUUUUCUAAAAUUUUCUGUAAAUGAAACUAUAUGGUAUGUUCUCUUGUCUCACUUCUUUUAUUCAGCAUAACAAUUUUGAGAUUCAUCCAUAAGGCUGCAAGUCUCCUUAGUUUAUUCAUUUCUAUUGUGGAGUUCUAUUCCAUUGACUGCAUAUGCCAUACUUUGCUUAUCAUUUUGACCAUUGAUAGGCAUUUAGGUUGUUUCCAGUUUGGGGUGAUUUCCAAUCAUGCUGAUAUGGACAUUUGUCUACAAAUCUUGAUGUGAAUCCGUGCUUUCAUUUGUCUCUGGUGAAUAUCUAGCAUACAAUGGCUGCCCAUUAUGUGGCAGAAGUAUGUUUUAACUUAAACUACUGAAAACUCAUUUUCCAAAGCAGCUGUACCAUUUUUCCUCUCCUCGAGUGUGAGAGUUCCAGUUGCUCCACAUCCUCACCAUCAUUUGACAUCGUCAAUCUUUUUUUUUUUUUUAAUCCAUCUUAAAUGGGGUAAUAGUGGUGUCUCAUUGUGGUUUCAGUUUGAAUUUCCCUGUGGACAAAUGAUAUUGAGCACCUUUUUAUAUACUUAUUGCCCAUAAUUUUUUCUUUUGUGAAGUAUCUGUUCAAAUCUUUUGACCAUUUUUUUUUUUUUUUGUCUUUUUGCAAUUUCUUGGGCCACUCCUGCGGCAUAUGGAGGUUUCCAGGCUAGGGGUCGAAUCGGAGCUAUAGCCACUGGCCUACGCCAGAGCCACAGCAACGCGGGAUCCAAGCCGCGUCUGCAACCUACACCACAGCUCACGGCAAUGCCGGAUCCUUAACCCACUGAGCAAGGCCAGGGAUGGAACCCGCAACCUCAUGGUUCCAUCAUUCGUUAACCACUGCGCCAUGACGGGAACUCCCUGACCUUUUUUUUUUUCUUUUUUUUUUUUUUGAGUUGCAAGACACAGAACAAAUUUAAGUAAGAGACUAUCAUAAUCAAACUUAAGUUUUAGAAAAAUCAUUGCAGGGGAAAUAUCAUGGAUGAAUCACACCAGGGCCAGACUGCAGAAGAGAGGCUUCCUGGGGUUAUUAGAAUAGUGCCAUGGGGUUAAGAAGAAACAUCUCUGGAGUUCCCAUCAUGGCUCAGCGGAAAUGAAUCGAACUAACAUCCAUGAGGAUGGAGGUUCAAUCCCUAGCCUUGCUCAGCGGGUUAAGGAUCCAGUGUUGCCAUGAGCUGUGGUGUAGGCUGGCCACUGUAGCUCCUGUUCGACCCACUAGCCUGGAAACCUCUAUAUGCCAUGGGAGCAGCCCUAAAAAAAUAAAGUAAAACAAAAGGAAGGAAGGAAAGAAAGAUAUUGAGAUAAAACUAAAAGGUAUAUUUUUCCACUUGAGAGUUAAUCAAGGAAAUCAAAUUCAGUUGAAAAUGAGGGUCUAGAACUCAAGGGAAAAAUAAAAACCUAUAUAACACUCAUUAUAUGCUAAGCACAAUUCUGGGCAUGCUCACAAUUAUCAACUCAGUUAAUAGUUAUUUACCCUUAAAAUUGUCUGCCUCCUACCUUCCCAUCUCUACAUGAUGAAUGAAGAAAAGGUUUAGUUAUAUCAGGAUCCUCUCUUCUCCAAUAACAAUCCAGUCAGGCAGGCAUUAUUAUUAUUAUUAUCAAUAUUUUAUAGAUGAGAAAGCCAAGGCACAGAACGACAAAGUAUUAUGCCUGAACAUGUGAACAACUAGUGUGAUUACAUGUAUAGAAGACAGUAUGGUUUAAAGGCUAGUAAAAUGUGGCUUUAGCAGCAGGCAACUCAAACUUUAAAAGCUGUAUCUAGGAGUUCCUGUCAUGGCUCAGUAGUAACAAACCCGACUAGCAUCCAUGAGGAUGCAAGCUCAAUCCUCAGCCUCGCUCAGUGGGUUAAGGAUCCAGCGCUGCUGUGAGCUGUGGUGUAGGUUGCAGACAUGGCUCAGAUCCCGGUUGCUGAGGCUGUGGUGUAGGCUGGUGGCUACAGCUCCGAUCGAACCCCUAGCCUGACAACUUCCAUAUGCCUCAGGUAUGACCCUAAAAAGACAAAAAAAAAAAAAA
rnacentral:lncRNA from 1 species